GGUUCGCCCCCGGUCGGUGUUGGCCUAGAAAGUUCCCCGGGGAUUGUCAGGUCCCCCUUGUCCGUGGCCCAGGACAGCAUUUGACAAUAGAUAACAAAACAAACCUCAUCUCUCAACCUAGUUACUAUACUUGUAACGUUAAACUGUGUGGCUGGAGUAAGGCGGAAGACAUCAGUACAGUACUCAGUAGUGGUACCAUUUUUACUCUCAACCCUCCGUACACAUCAAUUGGUAUAACCUCAACAAACAGUAUCAGUAUGGUUUGUGUAGUAAGGCAGGAUGUUUAUUGUCUAAUAUCAGCAAUAUGUAUGUUUGUAGUCUCUGUCCAUGGUGUUGCACAGACAGCAAUAUCUUGUGGUGAAUCUGAAGGAGUUGUAGGACAGCCACAAGUCCUAAGUUGUAGUAUUUCUGGUAGUAUAGAAAACAAUAUAUUCUGGUAUCGUUAUAAUGCAACUUAUAACGAGAAUAUAGUUCAAUGUUCUACUUCAUUGGCCAAAACUGUUAGUACAUGUGUAGCACCACCUGAUUUAAGAUCUCGGUAUAAUGUUAGCACUGAGAAACAACCCCCAAGAAAGCCAUCAUUUACAAUUAUCUCUGUAUCAGAGGAAGAUUUAAAAGUAUUGUGGUUAUGUUUGGACAGGAUUACGUUCCCAGAUAGAACAUCAAUACCCCCUUCUUCAACAUGCAGUUUAAAACAAGGACCUUCACCUGAUCGAGACUGCCGUUUGGAAGCUGGUGUGGCAUUUAUCAGUGAUUUCGUUGCUGGUGUUGUUGUUUUCUUGGUGAUAAUCUUUGUUAUUAACACAGAUCUGAGUGCCCCGUCAAUGAUUGUAAUCUUUGUUAUUUUUGCUGUUGCAUCUGGAAUUCUUGGUGCUGGAUCGUGGGCAGCAUGUAAUAAUGGUAUAUCAGUUGGUGGAAUAGUUGGUAUCAAUAUCGGCUGUAUGCUCGCUGUAUUUAUAAUAACAAUUCUAGUUAUGAGAGCCGCUUGUCAAUUACAAUACAAUACAGUACAGACUUGAAUGAUAUCACACGGUGGAUUGAACAGUUCAUUAGAUACCAUCAUAACAUCAUGGUUGCUGUACGUGUCAUGUCUUUAUCAACUAAACUACAUGUUAAUAGAUUCGUCUUUCAACUGUCUAUAUGUAUGCACCAAUUUUUUAUUUUUUGUCCUUCAGACAAACCGGUUAAAAUGUUGCUUCAGGAAAAAAAAAUAAUUUACAAGCAAAGAAUAUUUGGUUGCUCUUCUCAAAAGCUUUCAAUUCGAAAUUUUAAACAAUUCAUUUUGGACGAGUUUCACGUGGAUAUUUAUCAGAAGAACAAAAAAUGAAAUUACUAUGACCACAGCAUAAUCCUUUAUUUGUUUAUGUCAUUUUGAUAAAUAAUUACUUUAUUAAAUCCUGGCACCUAACAUCUUUCAUCGAUAAAAAUAUAUUUUAUAAGUAAGCCUAUAAAGUGAAACAUAAUUCAACAAUUGUAAUUAUUAUUUAAUGAUUUAUUCAAUAAUCUUUAUGGUGAAAUUUGUUAAUUUGUGCCUUUUUCACCUUUGGUUUACAUCAUAAUUUAUAUAAAAUUAAUUUUCUUAUUUUAAGUUCUAAUUUCUCUUUAAAAGAAGUAUUUGUUAGGGUUUUAUAAUAACUUUUACUUGUUAUUUAAUCAUUAUGCAUAAUUUACACUAAUUCAUCUUGCCUUAUCUUGCUUCAAGUUCUAAUAUAUUAACAAAUUAUUAUAAUACCCUCUUCCUGGCGCAAGUUUCAAUAUAUUGUAAUACCAAUCAAUGUACCCGGUGAUGAUUUUUGCGAGCUCUUAUUCUUCCUCAGUAUUCAGUCAUUGAAAAUAUUGAACAACAUUAUGAAUAAAUUAUAUAUGGAAGAGUGUAUUGUUUUAUUAUAUCAGUCAAAUGAAAUAAUUUAAUUGUACUUUACCUACUUAUAUAUACAUAUGUAUAUAUAUAUAUAGAAUAAAAGUAAAGAUUUCAGCUCGUAUUAUAUAUCCAAAAAACAAUAGUAUGAAUUUAACAACUAUAUCAUUAUUAACUGUUUAUUGACUGUCUACCACUGUUUGUCGUGUAUUUUGUACACGGGGAGCAGUCCAUUUGCUGAUUACACUAUUUAGCUCGAAUACACUAUUUUGCCAAAACGUUUUUUAGGACUUUGAAUUCUGUCUUAUGGUUUGGAUUGUUCGUACUUGGUUUUAUUUUAUUGUUAUGUUAUGUCCUGAAGAUGCCCCAGACAGUGAUAAAACAAUUAAUAAUAAUAUAGUUGUUAAAUUCAUACUAUUAUAUUUUGGAUAUAGAUUGAUUGAUUGAUUGAUUGAUGACUCGUAAUAAUCAUAUUUAAUAUGAUCUAAAAAUAAUAUUUAUCUUGAUAUUUGUUUAAUCAUUUUUUUUUUAAUGAGACAAAAAGUCAGAUUUACAAUCAUGCCCAAAACAAAAUUUGAUCAAAAGAAAUUGAUGUUUAUUGUUUUAUUAAAUCAGUCAAUCAAACGCUCAGUUUUCAUAUUAUUGUGCCAUAUAUUAUUAAUAUCUGAAUAUGUCUAUAGAGGGCAUACAGAUAGAUUAUGAUUUGGUGUAUAUAAAAUGAUUUUUAUAUGGCCAUCUUGAAAUUCGGUCAUAUAUUGUCGUCAUCCCCAUUCGUCCAGGGUCCAUAAUUACUGCCAAAGUUUCACUUUGAAAAAUCCUGUAGACACUCUAUUGCUUUUCGAUAAUUGUUGCCAGAGUUAUGGCCCUUGAUCACUUUGAAAUAUCUUGUGGACGCUCUAGAGGUUAAAUUUAAUAUAAAUUUAUUCACAGUGUUUAUGGUCAUGAGACGAAGAAUCCUAUUGCUUUUCGAUAAUUGUUGCCAGAUUUAUGGCCCUUGAUCACUUUGAAAUAUCUUGUGGACGCUCUAGAGGUUAAAUUUAAUAUAAAUUUAUACACAGUGUUUAAGGUGAUGAGAUGAACAAUGGAAACCAAUUCUAAUGAUUUCUGGUAAUUACCUAAUAAAGGGUUGUUACUGGUAAUCAGAUUUUCAUGUGUUGUAAAUCUUUUCAUUACUAACAAAAUAAAAUAUAUGCGAUAACCCUUGUUGAAAGCCUGGACGACGUUACGGCUAUGGGUGUAUGUUUCGUUACCUGGCAACCUAUCUUUUACCUGACAUAUUUUUUAUUUAUUCAUGUAUAUAUACAUAAAUAAGUUUUUUUGUUUUUUUAUAUUGAAACUGUUUAAUCCACACUGUAGUCAUGGCAACUUGAAGUUUACUAUAGAGUGUGUAGAUUUCAUACUAUCAUGGCAACUUGGACGUUUACUAUAGUUUAUGUAGAUUUCAUACUAUCAUGUUGGAUUCUCUGAGAUAAUUUGAAAUAUCAGUGAUUCCUAUCUAUCUAGGCCAAGAAAUCUAAUUAUAUUAUUCUCUAAUGUUUUGAUUAAUCAUUUUCAGAUCUUUUUUAUGUUCAGUUUAAAUAAUAAUAGUUUUAUUGACCUUCUUAUAAAUUAUAUGUUACAUCUGUGAGUUUUAUUGGCCUUCUCAUAAAUUAUAUGUUGGAUCUGUGAGUUUUAUUAAUAUAUAUGAUACGAUUUAUAAAUAUAUAGGAUAUAUUUUAAGGCUUGAUUUAUUGAUAUGUUUUUCUCCUCGAGAACUAUUAUUUUAUUCAUCUUCUGUUAUUAACGAUUUCUAUUAUUUGUUUUCUUAUUUCUUAAAAUAACAGAUUUAAAAUCUGUAACUUUUUUUUAUUGCUAUUAUUAAUGAAGUCAUCAAAUUUGUGUCCUAAUUGUAUUGUUAUAAAUCUCUGUUGCUUGUAGUUCUAGUUGCUUGUAGUUCUAGCUUUUACUUAGAUAUAUUGAUGGUAUCUAUCUCUAUUUGUGCUAUGUCAGUACCCAUUGUAUUGGUUAGGUUUUAAAGUGUACCAGUUCUAUAAAGUACAAUUUAAAUGAGUACACAUUGAAUUGGUUAGGUUUAAAAGUGUACCAGUUCUAUAGAGUACAAUUUAAAUGAGUACACAUUGUAUUGGUUAGGUUUUAAAGUGUACCAGUUCUAUAGAGAACAAUUUAAAUGAGUACACAUUGUAUUGUUUAGGUUUUUAAUUUGUACCAAUUCUAUAGAGUACAAUUUAAAUGAGUACACAUUGUAUUGGUUAGGUUUUUAAUUUGUACCAAUUCUAUAGAGUACAAUUUAAAUGAGUACACACUGUAAUAUAUUUAAUUCGUAAAUAAAGUAAUUCACAAUUAUGAUAUUAAUCAUUACACCCUAAACCUUAUUCAAUACACAAUACACAGUGUAUCUCUACAAUAUCUACACACACUGAAACUGUGUUCCAGCCAUUCCUUUUGUAUUCUUUUAAAUCUGUAAACUUGUGUUUUCUUUAUGAUAAUUUUUUAAAAUCAUGUGAUGUUUUUCAACUAUGUCAAUCUUAACAAGCUAAUUGAGUCCAGGGGAAGAACGAUCUAAGUCAUAUUUUUGUCUUUUCGCAUAAAACGCAAAACAGACUUUUAGACGAGAAUGCUUGAUGCGAACAGAACAACAAGUGGGUUUAACAACAACUUCAAAAUGAUAUUUAACACAAACCAUAAUUACCAGUACAACUGACUUCAACUUUUCAGACAAAUUAAGGUUAAAUAAAGGGUACGAUGGACUUGUAUUUGUCUGGGAAGCCAUUUCAGAAGGGCCUUGGUUCGAUGUGACUCUGAUUGUUUUUACCUGAAAUAGAUUGUUCCACAAAAAGCUUAUACAAUUUGCUGCCAGAUGGCGCAAUUAACUGGGGUUCGUGGAAAAAGUGACUUAGAUCGUUCUUCACCUGGAUUCUACCUUCUCACCAUUGUGCUUGUGAGUACUACUUGUAAUUGUGUUUAAUAUCAAUACACUUUCACAAGAUACAGGGAAAUAAGAUAUACAAGUUUCAGGGCACUGAAAACGACAUUCAAGAUUCAAGGAAAUUUGAGGUAUUGCUAUCAAAUUCAAAGAGAUUAUUUUUAAUGUAGAAGCAUUUUGAAUAUUUGGGAGAGUUUAAUGAACUUCAAGUAAUUAUCAUAUUUAUCUUAGAAAUUAAUCUGUUAAAUUAGGUUUAUAAUUAUGUUGUAUAACAUAUCCAUCAGAAUAUAAUGAUGCAGUAUUAUAAACUAUGUACCUCUUAAAUUGCACAGAAAACAUCUAUAUUGCACAACAAGAAACUAAUACCUCACAGGUGACAUGGCACCGAUUACCUUUUGUCGAGAAAUUUCCUAAACUAGAAAGACAAAUAGUCAAAUAAACCCUAGUCUAUAUUUAAGGAAAUUGUCUCUCUAUAUAUAUGUAUAUAUAUAUAUAUAUAUAUAUAUAUAUAUAUAUAUAUAAUUGUUGAUAAUAUUGUGUGCUCAUUAUUACUAUGUUAUUCAUAAUCAUUGUAUUUUUAAAGUAUGUCUCUUUGGUAUGUGUUCACCAUAACAUGCAUAAUAUAUCACCAUCAUAAAAUGCAUUACCAUCAUAGCAUGCAUAAAUUAUCACCAUGGUAGCAUGCACAAUUUAUCACCAUGGUAGCAUGCAUAUGUAUAAUAUAUCACCAUCACUAGCAUGCAUAGUUUAUCACCACCAUAACAUGCAUAAUUUAUUUCUGAAACACAAUUGAGUAAAACGUUAAUAUUGGUUAGCUGUUAUAUCCAUUUGUUUGGAUAGCAAGGUGCCAUUUAAUAACAAAAGACAAAAAUGAGAUAAGAAAAAUGAAGUUUAAAUUCCGCUCAACACAAACAAAAAUAUUGCAUAUGUUAGUCUUAAAAUUACGUGAUGUUAAAAUUGUAUAUCUACAACUAGACAUGACGUUAAAACUAUAUCUACCAUCUAGACAGCGUCACUUGAUGAUAUGGAGAUGUAUUUCCUAUUAUUUAUAUUUAUACCAUAUAAUCUUCUGUAUCUUAUGUUUUAAUAUUGAUGUAUAAAUACUUGUAAUGUAUUAGCUUUUUAAUAUAGCCGUGUGAAAUAUACAUGUUCUACUGUAUAUUGUUAGAUUUACUUUAUAUACGCCCACUUAUAUUGUCGUCCGUCGAUCCGGCAUCCACACUCUCAAGGCUAAAGUUAAUAUACGAUCAACUUUUAAUUUAUAGCCUACAUACUGUUUAAGGUCAUGAGACGAACAGGCCAAUUGAGUAUAGCCCUUGACCUCUUUGAAAAAUCUUGUAGAAGCGCUUGGUUGGGGCUAAAGUAAAUAGCUGAUUAACUUUAAACAGUGAUAUGUCAUGAGACGUAGACUCCUAUUCAUUUUCAAAGAUUUCCAAUAAUUACUGACAGAGUUUAGGCCCUUGAUCACUUUGAAAAAUCUUGUGGACACUAGAGAGGCUAAAGUCAAUAUAAAUUGUUGAAGGUCAUGAGGCAAACAAUCGAAACAAAUUCUAAAGAUUUCUGUUAAUUACUUAAUGGGUUAAUACUUCUAAUCAGAUUUUCAGGUGUUGUAAAUGUCCACCUUACUGACAAAAGAAAAAAAUAUGCAACCCUUGUUGACUGCCCUGACGACUUUGCUGCGUGGGCGUGGAUUUAGAAUCGGAAGGGGGGACGAAUAGGUCUCUGCCCCCACCCCCGCCCAAUGAUUUUGAUCGCCAGGACAGAUUUUCAGGUUUAUAUCCAGAUUAAUGUCCCAUUCUGUAGGUUAUCUAACCACUGCCUUGGGUCUCGGCACAGUUACUGAUCUUCACGAUAUCUUCCUCCUUAAUUGUAGGUAGUCAGUUUUUCAAUAUCGUCAUCAUUAUUACCCCUAGCUACAGCUUUCAUCAAAAUAACACUGGUAAAGUAAACUGUUCGAAAUUAUUAUUUUGGUUUGGGAAUGAAAGGUUCCGGGGUUCGUCCGUCCCGCCCCCCCCCCCCCCCAAAAAAAAAAAGUUAUGACAAAUCCACGCCCUUGGGUGUAUGUUUCGUUGCUUUGCAACCUAUGUUUUAAAUAUGUAGGGAUUGUUUAGUGUGUCAUGUUAUUAUGUUUAAUAUUAACUCCCAAUCAUUUUCCAUAAUUAACACAAGAAAAGAAAUUGAUCUAUGUAAUUCUUGUGUCAAAUAUGAAAAACUGAUCCAUGUGAUUGUGCAAUUUUAUAUCUGUAUUAGUUAGGGAUAUUAUUACAUUUUGUUUUUAUACGCCCACAUUUUCAUGUGGACGCAUUAUGCCGUUGCCCCUGUCUGUCUGUCCGUUCACAAUUUGUUUGUGGACACUGUACAGGUCACAAUUUUUAUCCGAUUUUGACAAAACUUGAAAUAUAGGUCUAUCUCCCAAAGAUCUUGAUUCCUUUCGAUAUUGGCAUGUAUCGGACCAUAACCGCUCCUGAUCACGUAUUUAGCUUGUGGACACUUUAGAGGUCACAAUUUUCUCCCGAUUUUGAUGAAACUUGAAAAACAUGUUUAUAAGCCAAGGAUCUUGGUUCCUUUCGAUAUUCGCGCAUAUUGGAUUGUAAUCUCCUUAAUUAUGAUCCCUGAUUGUACGAAAAAUCACAUUUUUAGCUUGUAGUCCCUCUAGAGGUCACAAUUAUUAUCCGAUUUAAAAAACAGUUCGAAUAUAUAACCGUUACACCGUAAUGUCUGUUGAGUUCGAAUUUCAUGAAAAUUGGGCCAAAUCUGCCAGACAAAAUGGUCGCCCCUCGUACGCAAAUAGUGUAAGCAUCUGGUUCAUCAAGGUUGUGGAGCCUCUAGAGGUCACAGUUUUGAUCCGAUUUUGAUGAAACUUGAAAUAUAAGGAUAAAACCCAAAGAUGGUAAACUUCCUGAAUUAUUGCCCUUGAUUGUACAAAAAAUCACGUUUUUAGCUUGUGGUCCCUGUAGAGAUAACAAUUUUUAUCCGGUUUAAAAAAAACGUGUAAAUAUAUAACCGUUACACACUAUAAGAUCUUGGUUCCUUUUGAUAAUCGCAUAUGUGAUUGUAAUACGAAGGUUGUGGACCCGCUAGAGGUCACAAUUUUUAUCCAAUUUUGAUGAAACUUAAAACUUAUUUUUAUAUCCCAAAGAUCCCAGUCCUUUUUGAUAUUUGCGCAUUUCAGACCAUAACUUUCUAGAUUAUUGCCCCUGAUUGUACAAAAAAUCACGUUUGUUUUCAGCUUGUUCUCUAUCCACCUCUUGCAAAAUGUGGGCGUAUCCUGCCUGGCAGCCACUGGUUAUAUGUUUUGUAUUUAUACUUGGUGAUGUAGCUAUUAAAUCUUAUCUCUGUAA